CCCUUCGGUUCGGAAUAACUCAGGGAAACUUGAGCUAAUACCGGAUACGCCCUUAUGGGGAAAGGCUUGACUGCCAAAGGAUCGGCCCCCGCCUGAUUAGCUAGUUGGGGAGGUUAUGGUUCACCAAGGCGACAAUCAUUAGCUGGCCUGAAAGAAUGAUCACCCCCACUGGGACUAAAACACGGCCCAAACUCCUACGGGAGGCGGCGGGGGGGAAUAUGGAACAAGGGGGGCAACCCUGAUCCACCCUUGCCCCGGGAGUGAUAACGGCCUUAGGGUGGUAAAGUUCUUUUCUCCGGGACAAUAUUGACGGUCCCGAAGAAAUAAGCCCCGGUUAACUUCUGGCCACCACCCGCGGUAAUACAAAGGGGGCUAGCGUUGUUCGAAUUCACUGGGCGUAAAGGGCGCGUAGGCGGUUAAUUUAUUCAAGGGGGAAAGCCCUUGGUUCACCACCGGAAUGGCCUUCAAUACUGAUUGCUUUGAGACCGGAGAAGAACACCGAACCUGCAAGUGUAGAGGUGAAAUUCUUAGAUAUU
rnacentral:rRNA from 1 species